GGAUUUCCUUAGUAGCGGCGAGCGAACGGGAAAGAGCCCAGCGCCGAAUCCCGCGGCUUUCUCGGCCGCCGGGAGAUGUGGCGUUCGGGAGGGUCCGCUUUCUUUUCGCCGUUCGCCUCGUCCAAGUUCGUCUUGAACGGGGCCGUUUACCCGCAGAGGGUGCCAGGCCCGUAGCGACAGGCGGCGGCGUUGAGAGGAUCUCCUCCCCAGAGUCGGGUUGCUUGAGAGUGCAGCCCAAAGCGGGUGGUAAACUCCAUCUAAGGCUAAAUAUGACCGCGAGACCGAUAGCGAACAAGUACCGUGAGGAAG
rnacentral:rRNA from 1 species